GCCACGGUUCCCCCAGCUCAUAGACUCUAGCUCUUUGAAUGUGUGGUUCUAGACUUGGAGAAUGAAGAGAAGCAGUUAAGCCAUGAGCGGUAGCACCUCCAUGAGGUUCUAUAUGAGGUUAUCUGGGAAGGGGAGUCUUCAGUCUUCAUCAACAACCUAUUCCAGUGUCUCCAAGGUCUUCAGCCAGGGAGCCCUUCUUUGUAUGCCGAUCCACGGUUCCUCUGUAUCCCGAAUUUUUCAUCUGUGGAUUCUACCAACAGCAACAGUAUUUGCUAUUGGAAAAAAAAAGAAAUCUGCAUUUAAGUGGAUCCAUACAGUUCAAGCCCGUGUUGUUUAAGGAUCCACUGUGCAUUUUUAUAGAGACUGGAGCAGAGAGGAAGAACUGAUGCAUAGAGUAUUGCCCGGGAGAGCAAAGCUGAGCAAGGCAUCAGCGUGAGACAUUCUGGUCGGGAUGCUCCAGAAGGAAGGCACCCAUAGCCCAGUGUGGAAUAUUGGCUUCCUGCCCCCUCUCCUGAUCCUCAGGACUGAUGCUCAACUGCUUCCUUUCCUGGGGAAAGGUUCCUUAGGGAGCCCUAAAUUCAGAACCUUCCCUCUUCCCGUCCCCACAGAGCAGCCCUGCCAAGUGUACAAGUAAAACCAACG